UAGGGUUGUGUUAGGGUUAGGGUUAUUCUUAGGGUUAGUUGUGUUCCCUAACACAUAUCACCUCUGCGCUGCUGUGGGAUGAUUUGUUUUGAGCUGUAACAGCUCCUGGCACACCGUGGCAGCAGGGAGCUGGCCGCACGCUUGCUGCGUGCUGUCUGCUCUCUCUGCUGGCCAACUGAAAAAUUUUAUUUCCACGAGAUGGGCUUGCAGAAAUGCACCGACCGAGAAAAUGCGUGUCAGAAAAAUAGAGCUUUUUUUUUCCCCCUAAAGUCCCAAACAGGCACAUAAAAGUGGUUGAAUUGAAUAAAUGAUAUUCUUAACAAAAAGGAAGCAGCAGAGGAGAAAGAGGCAGGACAGACAUGGGUCUUCUGUCCCAUCCCAGCUCACUGCAUCCAUAGUUUGGUGGAAGUGAGAGGACCGACCCAUGGGACAGGGUGACCCCAGCGUGGAUGUCAGGCCGUCAAGGCCUUGCCCUAACAUUUUCAGUAGCAAACGUUGUAGUGUUGGGUUACUGGAGAAUUUCCAGUGACCACCAGCACAGAGAAGCCAGGAGAGAGUGGGACUGUGAGGAACUUUUUUCUGUUUGUUCAAUGCCUAAUUCAAGGGUGACCGAGUCCAAAAAGCCACCACACGGGGACUCUCAGCACAUAAAUACUGUAAUAGGAAUGGACUACAGAAAGUCAGGACUUCUCUGUGGGAAAGGACAAGCUAAAGACCUUGAUCCUGAAAUUAGACCAAACGUGGCAAAUUCUCCUAUCUGAGCCUCACUAAAGGGAGCGUGCCAUGGAUUUCAGCCACCAGGAACCAGCUCAGUAGUUUAAUCAAGGAGCAAACUCAUGUCUGGAGGGAUGACAACCUGAUGUUCUACAGCUCAAUGGCUCUGUUGAGUGACGCCCAGGUGCUGGGUUUAUGUGGCGAGGUUUUGGUAGUGGGGGGAGCUGCAAGGGUGGCCUCUGUUUACAACAGAGCAACACGUUUAUGGUGGGAUGUCAACCUCUGAUCUGAUUUAUUAAA